rnacentral:lncRNA from 1 species
CGCACCUAGGGGUAGGUCUCUGAACUGGCCCCCCCGGGGCGUAUCUGUCUCUUUUGGUCGAGAUUGCAGAGGUGAAAUAAACUCCAGUCUCCCACAGCACUCCCAGGCUUAUUAGGAAGAGGAAAUUCCCGCCUAAUAAAUUUUGGUCAGACCGGUUGAUCUCAAAACGCUGUCUCCUGAUAAGAUGUUAUCAAUGACAAUGGUGCCUGAAACUUCAUUAGCAAUUUUAAUUUUGCCUCCAUCCUGUGGUCCUGUGAUCUCGCCCUGCCUCCACUUGCCUUGUGAUAUUCUAUUACCCUGUUAAGUACUUGAUGUCUGUCACCCACACCUAUUCGUAUACUCCCUCCCCUUUUGAAACUCCCUGAUAAAAACUUGCUGGUUUUUGUGGCUUGUGGGGCAUCACGGAUCCUACCAACGUGUGAUGUCUCCCCCGGAUGCCCAGCUUUAAAAUUUCUCUCUUUUGUACUCUGUCCCUUUAUUUCUCAAGCCAGCCGACGCUUAGGAAAAUAGAAAUGAACCUACGUGAUUAUUGGGGCAGGUCCCCCGAUAGUUAUCACCUCAAAAGAAUAGGUAAAAUAUAUAUUUUUUUCCUUUGGAGACAGAGUCUCACUCUGUCCUCCAGGCUGGAGUACAGUGGUGCAGUCUCGGCUCACUGCAACUUCUGUCUCCUAGGUUCAAGGUUCAAGCGAUUCUCCUGUCUCAGCCCCCCAAGUAGCUGGGAUUACAGGCGCCCGCCACCACGCCUGGCUAAUUUUUGUAUUUUUUUUCAUAAAGAUGGGGUUUGGCUAUGUUGACCAGACUACCAAAGUUCACUCAAAAAGAAACAGAUGGCCAGGCGC